CGAUCAGAAGGCAGGGGGCGACUUCAAGCUCCCCAAAACCCUAGUUCACAUCAAAAACCACCAAUUGAAGGAUCAAAUCGAGUCCAAAACGAAAAUCGAGCAUAUAUUCGUGAUCCCCAUUGAAAGGAGAUCAUAAGUUUGUCGCCUAACGAGCUAGGUGGAGGCUUGGAAAAGAAGCGGUCAAACGAAUCAAGCACGAGAAGAAAACGUAUUCGGAUGCGAGAAAAUUUAAAGCAAGAAGUAUGUAAACGGGUCAAUACUAUGAUCCGAGCCAGGUACGCAUACGUGAAUUUAUAG
rnacentral:lncRNA from 1 species